rnacentral:rRNA from 1 species
AGAGUUUGAUCCUGGCUCAGAUUGAACGCUGGCGGCAUGCUUUACACAUGCAAGUCGGACGGCAGCACAGAGAAGCUUGCUUCUUGGGUGGCGAGUGGCGAACGGGUGAGUAAUAUAUCGGAACGUACCGAGUAAUGGGGGAUAACUAAUCGAAAGAUUAGCUAAUACCGCAUAUUCUCUGAGGAGGAAAGCAGGGGACCUUCGGGCCUUGCGUUAUUCGAGCGGCCGAUAUCUGAUUAGCUAGUUGGUGGGGUAAAGGCCUACCAAGGCGACGAUCAGUAGCGGGUCUGAGAGGAUGAUCCGCCACACUGGGACUGAGACACGGCCCAGACUCCUACGGGAGGCAGCAGUGGGGAAUUUUGGACAAUGGGCGCAAGCCCGAUCCAGCCAUGCCGCGUGUCUGAAGAAGGCCUUCGGGUUGUAAAGGACUUUUGUCAGGGAAGAAAAGGCUGUUGCUAAUAUCGACAGCUGAUGACGGUACCUGAAGAAUAAGCACCGGCUAACUACGUGCCAGCAGCCGCGGUAAUACGUAGGGUGCGAGCGUUAAUCGGAAUUACUGGGCGUAAAGCGAGCGCAGACGGUUACUUAAGCAGGAUGUGAAAUCCCCGGGCUCAACCUGGGAACUGCGUUCUGAACUGGGUGACUAGAGUGUGUCAGAGGGAGGUAGAAUUCCACGUGUAGCAGUGAAAUGCGUAGAGAUGUGGAGGAAUACCGAUGGCGAAGGCAGCCUCCUGGGAUAACACUGACGUUCAUGCUCGAAAGCGUGGGUAGCAAACAGGAUUAGAUACCCUGGUAGUCCACGCCCUAAA